rnacentral:rRNA from 1 species
CCAUGAAAAAGAAAAAAUCAGAUAAAAAAGUUUUUUAUACAAGACAAAACUUUUUUGAGGUAAAAUACGUGCCAGCAACCGCGGUUAUACUUAUUGCUAAUAAGGAAUUAAUUAUUAUAUAAGAGAAUAUUCAGAAGGUAAUAUCAUUAUGAAGUUAGUAAAACUAGUUAUUGAAAAAAGGUUAGAUGCUUUGUACACUAGAAAUAUAUUUGAGCAGUAAAUAAACUUAAUAAACAUGGUAGGAUAUUCUUAAUUAAGGCUAAUUGAAUAUAUUAAGAUAACCCACUAUGUAAUUUUGAAAAAAAAAAUAGUGUAUUGCUGUAAAUUAAUUAAUAAAAUUAAUUAAGAAACCAAGCCUAAAUGCUUUUGCAAAAAUUUUUUUUUCUCUUUGAUUGACAGGGAUUAAAAAGUUAAACUUUUUUUUUGAAAUAUUGGAAAUCUGCACAUAUUGCCCGUCACCUCAGUUAUUAUCUGAGAAAGUCGACACAUAGUAGCUGUAUUGGAAAUUGCCUCUGAAUAAAUGGAGAAACGUAAAAUAAAGAAAAAUUGCCUCUUAUUAGUAAAGAGA